rnacentral:rRNA from 1 species
GAUGAACGCUGGCGGCGUGCCUAAUACAUGCAAGUCGAGCGAACAGAUGAGGAGCUUGCUCCUCUGACGUUAGCGGCGGACGGGUGAGUAACACGUGGAUAACCUACCUAUAAGACUGGGAUAACUUCGGGAAACCGGAGCUAAUACCGGAUAAUAUAUUGAACCGCAUGGUUCAAUAGUGAAAGACGGUUUUGCUGUCACUUAUAGAUGGAUCCGCGCCGCAUUAGCUAGUUGGUAAGGUAACGGCUUACCAAGGCAACGAUGCGUAGCCGACCUGAGAGGGUGAUCGGCCACACUGGAACUGAGACACGGUCCAGACUCCUACGGGAGGCAGCAGUAGGGAAUCUUCCGCAAUGGGCGAAAGCUUGACGGAGCAACGCCGCGUGAGUGAUGAAGGUCUUCGGAUCGUAGAACUCUGUUAUUAGGGAAGAACAAAUGUGUAAGUAACUAUGCACGUCUUGACGGUACCUAAUCAGAAAGCCACGGCUAACUACGUG